rnacentral:tRNA from 1 species
UGGCUCAGCGGUUAAGAGCACUGAACUGCUCUUCCAGAGGGCCUGAGUUCAAUUCCCAG